UUUUCCCCCCUUUUUUUUUUCCGAGGUAUCUAAAAUAAUGGCUUGUUAAGACAGUAAUAAAGCCGUGUAACUUGUGGGGAAAAGCACACUGUGGCUCACAAUCUGAAUUAAACGUGUGUCAUUGGGGCCUUUGAUCCUGGCUCUCCAGUCGUGGGAACCAGGAGAAGUCAUCUCCUGUGAACUGAGCAUGAUGGAUGGAAUCAGGCCAUUCUGAGCACCAUAAAAAAAUUGUUUUAGCGUUGCUGCGGGGGAAAUCUUCUACCUUCAAGAAACCUGAUAUUUUGGACCAGAUCCCUGUCUGAACAGGUUGUAUGCUGCCCUUUUCAAAAUCAAGCUAUCAGAGGAUGCCCUUCAGCAGAAGUGUUAAGAGGACUUGGCAAAGCUUGCUGGUGAGGCAGUGUGUCAGUGGGGCAUUUCCAAGGAACACCACUCAGAGAGCACUGGAGGAAGGAUUUCAGCUCUGAUGCUCUUCCAAGACAUCAGCACCAGCUGGCAUCACUGGCAUUCAUCUUUUGGGUGAGACUCUGGCUGGAAUCCUCUGUCUCUCUCAAAGCAAGCACUGCAGGUGAGUUCUUCUGA